rnacentral:ncRNA from 2 species
GGGAAGUCCGGUGAGAAUCCGGCGCUGUCGCGCAGCGGUAUGUGGAGGGGCAAAGGCCCCCCCGCGAGCCCGAAUGCC